AUUAUACUAGAAAGUUUCCUUAUUCCCCUUGGUGAGCCAUCUGUCUCUCAGCUCCCAGUUCCAGGCAAUCGCUGAUCUGCUUCCUGUCACUAUAGAUUAGUUUGAGUUUUCCAGAACUCUAUGUACAUGGAAUCAUACAGCACGCACUCUCUCUGCGUCACUUCUUUCACUCAGAAAAAUAAUUUUGUCAUGUGUCAUUACUGUUGUAUAUAUCAAUAAUCAUUUCUUCUUCUUGCUGAGUAGUAUUCCUUGGUUGUGGAUAUGCCACAAUUUGUUUAACCAUCCCCUGUUGAUAAACAUUUGGGUUAUCUCCAGUUUAGAUUAUUACAAACAAACUACUAUGAACAUUUGUAUAUACAGCCUUUGGACAUGAAGUUUUGUUUUUCUUGGGCAAACAUCUAAGAGGGGAAUGGGUGGAUCAGAUGGGAGGUGUUUGUUAAACUGUUUAAGAAACCGUCAGUGUGAUUUUCCAGUGUGAUUGUGCCUCUUACAUUCCCUCCAGCAUGUAGGGAAUUUCAGCUGUCCUACAUUCUCGCCAAUAUUCUGUGUGGUCCUAUAUACGAGAGCUUAAAGAACUCAUUACUGCCAGUUCUCCACUAGAAGAGACGUUAAAGGAAGUCCUUCUUUCAAGUAGAAAAAAAUGUCAUCGGAUAGAAAUGUAAAUUUACACAGAAGAAUAAAAAGCACCAGAAAUGCUAUCAACAUGGAUUCUUAAAAAGUGAACCACAACUUUUAAUGGAGAGGAGUGAGGAUGACAUUUGGCUGAUGGAGGAAUACAUUUUGGUUACAAUCCACCUCAUUCUGGAAGAAAAAAGGAAUGCUCGAGCAAAUAAUAUAAAUGAACUAAAAAUAUAACUUCGGUUUUCAUAGACAACCUUUUCCUUCCAAGGGGAAGAAAGGAUAAGGAUAAGAAACAUAUGGAAAAAAGGACACACGAUCUGAAAGUAUGCACAAGAGAAAUCUAAAAAUAACACGAAUACAUAUGCUACAUGCAACUAAUCAAGCAAAUUACCAGCCAAAAAAACUCAUGAAAUUCCCUCCAUGAAUUCUCGUUUACUUCUAAGAGUAGUUUCUGUAGACUCGUUUACCUUCCGGCUGGCAAUGAACAAGUAAGGCAAAAACUGUUCGAACAAAGAAUAAGAAGAACAACUGAGUAAUUCUACGGGGACACAGCAGCGCUAAUCACUCCUCUUCCGUUCCACUUAAAAUCUCUGCCUCGUUGAAGGAAGGAGAACUAUUGUGUUGACUAAGUCAUGGAACAUACACUGGCAUUUAUCACAGAAAUCAUAUAUCACCCUUGUAAAUUUUUUUGUUUUAAUUUGUCACACCCCCCAAAGAACCAGAGGUUAAAAUUGUAUAUUUACUAAUUUUCAAUUCAUAUUUUUGUAAACUUUCCAAUUUCCCCAUUAUUGGUUUCAAUUAUAA
rnacentral:lncRNA from 1 species